rnacentral:rRNA from 1 species
GACGAACGCUGGCGGCGCGCCUAACACAUGCAAGUCGAGCGAGAAGCGACCCUUCGGGGACGUGGAAGCGGCGAACGGGUGAGUAUCACGUGGGUAAUCUGCCCUCGGUUCUGGGAUAGCCCGGGAAACCCGGAUUAAUACCGGAUAGCCUCUCGAGCCCUCGGGUUCGUGAGAAAAGGUAGCUUCGGCCUCUGACUGAGGAUGAGCCCGCGGCGGAUUAGCUUGUUGGUGAGGUAAUGGCUCACCAAGGCGACGAUCCGUAGCUGGUCUGAGAGGAUGAUCAGCCACACCGGGACUGAGACACGGCCCGGACUCCUACGGGAGGCAGCAGUGGGGAAUCUUGGACAAUGGGGGCAACCCUGAUCCAGCCAUGCCGCGUGUGUGAAGAAGGCCUUCGGGUUGUAAAGCACUUUCAGCAGUGAGGAAAGGGGUGUCGUUAAUAGCGCCAUCCUGUGACGUUAACUGCAGAAGAAGGACCGGCUAACUCCGUG